rnacentral:rRNA from 1 species
UGGGGAAUCUUGCACAAUGGGGGCAACCCUGAUGCAGCGACGCCGCGUGAGCGAUGAAGCCCUUCGGGGCGUAAAGCUCUUUCGACCGGAACGAUAAUGACGGUACCGGGAGAAGAAGCUGCGGCUAACUACGUGCCAGCAGCCGCGGUAAUACGUAGGCAGCAAGCGUUGUUCGGAGUUACUGGGCGUAAAGAGUGCGUAGGCGGUUUUCUAAGUUCGGUGUGAAAUCUCCCGGCUUAACUGGGAGGGUGCGCCGAAGACUGGGAAGCUGGAGUGUGGGAAAGGCAGGCGGAAUUCCUGGUGUAGCGGUGAAAUGCGUAGAUAUCAGGAGGAACACCUGCGGUGUAGACAGCUUUCUGGACCAAAACUGACGCUGAGGCACGAAAGCGUGGGUAGCAAACA